rnacentral:rRNA from 1 species
UACGGAGGAUGCGAGCGUUAUCCGGAUUUAUUGGGUUUAAAGGGUGCGUAGGCGGAUUUUUAAGUCAGCGGUAAAAUGUCCGGGUUCAACCCGGGCCGGCCGUUGAAACUGGGGAUCUUGAGUGGGCGAGAAGUAUGCGGAAUGCGUGGUGUAGCGGUGAAAUGCAUAGAUAUCACGCAGAACUCCGAUUGCGAAGGCAGCAUACCGGCGCCCGACUGACGCUGAGGCACGAAAGCGUGGGGAUCGAACAGG